ACGACUUUACUUGAAUAGGAUCUGUUCUAUAGGCUCGUACCUCUGUGUCCUUGAGACCUAAGGAGACAGGAACCAAAGUCUGGUGGAUGAACCAAGGCUUUGUGACCAGAGCAUGAUUAACGGCUCUAUUGGGUUCUGCUUAGAUCCAUCAGAGCUAGCCGGAGUUUCUAGCUGGGAUGGUCACACGGCUAUCUAACAUACU